UACGUAGGAGGCGAGCGUUGUCCGGAAUCACUGGGCGUAAAGCGCACGUAGGCGGACUCUUAAGUCGGUGGUGAAAUCCUGGAGCUCAACUCCAGAACUGCCUUCGAUACUGAGAGUCUCGAGUCCGGGAGAGGUGAGUGGAACUGCGAGUGUAGAGGUGAAAUUCGUAGAUAUUCGCAAGAACACCAGUGGCGAAGGCGGCUCACUGGCCCGAUACUGACGCUGAGGUGCGAAAGCGUGGGGAGCAAACAGG
rnacentral:rRNA from 1 species